AUAUUUAAUAUAUGUUUUAAUAUUUUUAAUGCUCUAUUUUAUUCUGACGUCUCUCUUCCCGUUUCUUUAUUUUUAAAAAGACAUCAUUUUUGGAUCUAUGUCUUUUAAUCGAACAUUUUCAAUUGUUUCUUUUUUUAAUCUAGCAUUUCUCAAUUCAUACAAAUUAAGAGAUGAGUAUUAACGUUUAUUUAAUCGCGUCUAUAUUUAACACACCUCUGUAGCCACAAGUGAUCCAACACUUUCUCUAAUCAUGAUUACUAAUUAGUUUUAAUCCGAUUUUAACUCAAUGACCGCAAUAUUUGUAGAUAGACAUUGAGUAGUUGUUAACCUGGUAAUUAUAUGUUUUAAUUAGUUUUCGGUUGCUUAUUUUAAGUAAAAUCCAUUACCAAAAUCAAAUAAAGUCAAAAUCGGGUUUUGGGUCUGAUCAAGCAUAAAAUGGGCUCCUACUAGACGUUGGAGCCAGAGUCAAAGUCGGGUUUCGAAAUAGGCUUCUGAUAGGAGUCGGAGUUGGUCGCGAGAUUAUAAAAGUGGCAGUAGAAAUGUUGAUACGGGUGAGAUAAUUAGAAAUUCAGCUAAAAAACUAGCCAGCUGACAAAUAGCAAUCAAGAGUGACUAAUAGAUCUACAAGAUUAGGCUAAACCCUUGCCGAUAAUCCGCCGGCACCGUUGCUUGAUCGUCGCCCCGGACAUAACCGACUUCGACGUUGACGAUUACUACUUCGGUGACUCGCAUAAUCAGUACGACGAAUAAAUAAAAGAUUACUGCGGCGAUUGCAUGUUUGAAGACAACAACGACAAUUAUGUUACACGUGUGUUUUCAUAUAUAUUUAUCAUUAGACGUAUAAUGUCACAGUACAUGAAUACAUACGUACAUAGAACAAUUCAAAAAACAAACCGGCACUGCUACCGGAAAAAAAAUGAAAAAGAAAAAAAAUCCAAACACACACAUAUAUACACAUAU
rnacentral:lncRNA from 1 species